rnacentral:rRNA from 1 species
UGAUGGGAGCUUGCUCCUGGAUUAGUGGCGAACGGGUGAGUAACACGUGAGUAACCUGCCCUUAACUCUGGGAUAAGCCUGGGAAACUGGGUCUAAUACCGGAUAUGACUUCUCAUCGCAUGGUGGGGGGUGGAAAGCUUUUUGUGGUUUUGGAUGGACUCGCGGCCUAUCAGCUUGUUGGUGAGGUAAUGGCUUACCAAGGCGACGACGGGUAGCCGGCCUGAGAGGGUGACCGGCCACACUGGGACUGAGACACGGCCCAGACUCCUACGGGAGGCAGCAGUGGGGAAUAUUGCACAAUGGGCGCAAGCCUGAUGCAGCGACGCCGCGUGAGGGAUGACGGCCUUCGGGUUGUAAACCUCUUUCAGUAGGGAAGAAGCGAAAGUGACGGUACCUGCAGAAGAAGCGCCGGCUAACUACGUGCCAGCAGCCGCGGUAAUACGUAGGGCGCAAGCGUUAUCCGGAAUUAUUGGGCGUAAAGAGCUCGUAGGCGGUUUGUCGCGUCUGCCGUGAAAGUCCGGGGCUCAACUCCGGAUCUGCGGUGGGUACGGGCAGACUAGAGUGAUGUAGGGGAGACUGGAAUUCCUGGUGUAGCGGUGAAAUGCGCAGAUAUCAGGAGGAACACCGAUGGCGAAGGCAGGUCUCUGGGCAUUAACUGACGCUGAGGAGCGAAAGCAUGGGGAGCGAACAGGAUUAGAUACCCUGGUAGUCCAUGCCGUAAACGUUGGGCACUAGGUGUGGGGGACAUUCCACGUUUUCCGCGCCGUA